CCGGACCUUACUGCUAUCGGGAUAAGACUAAGCCAUGCGAGUUGUGCGCUCUCAAGCUAUGUUGAGAGAGCAGCAAACGGCUCAGUAACACGUAGUUAACCUACCCUCAGGACAGGGAUACCCCCGGGAAACUGGGGAUAAUAUCUGAUAGGCGGAAGCGCCUGGAAUGGUCUUCCACUGAAAGGGUGUUAAAAACAUGCUUUUAGCACUGCCUGAGGAUGGGACUGCGGCCGAUCAGGUUGUUGGUGGGGUAACGGCCUACCAAGCCUAUAACCGGUACGGGCCCUGAGAGGGGGAGCCCGGAGAUGGGAACUGAGAAACGGUCCCAGGUCCUACGGGACGCAGCAGGCGCGAAACCUCCACAAUGCACGAAAGUGCGAUGGGGUUAUCCCGAGUGCUUUCCGAUGAGGAUGGCUUUUCCUCGGUGUAAAAAGGCGAGGGAAUAAAGGGGGGGCAAGACUGGUGUCAGCCGCCGCGGUAAUACCAGCUCCCUGAGUGGUAGGGAUGAUUAUUUGGCCUAAAACGUUCGUAGCCGGCUUGGCAAGUCUUCCGUUAAAUCCAGCGACUCAAUCGUUGGUCUGCGGAAGAUACUACUAGGCUGGAGGACGGGAGAGGUUGACGGUAUUCCCAGUGUAGGGGUGAAAUCCAAUAAUCCUGGGAGGACCACCAGUGGCGAAGGCGGUCAACGAGAACGUGCCUGACGGUGAUGGACGAAAGCUGGGGGAGCGAACCGGAUUAGACACCCGGGUAGUCCCAGCCGUAAACGAUGCGGGCUAGGUGUUAGGGCAGCUACGAGCUGCUCUAGUGCCGCAGAGAAGUCGUUAAGCCCGCUGCCUGGGGAGUACGAUCGCAAGAUUGAAACUUAAAGAAUUGGCGGGGGAGCAC
rnacentral:rRNA from 1 species